UUCAUUUUUCCUCAAUUUCUCUCCUUUCUUCACCGACAUGAGCUCCCCUGAUUCUUUACUGUCGGUUUGCGUUUCUGCUCUUCAGCAUCGACUUGCUUCCUAGAUCUUUGCCAUCAGCUUCCUCUGUUCGCGUCGCUAUUUCGCAGCUGGAAGUGGGAGAUCGCUGGAUUUGCUCCCUUGUUUGGCCGUUCUUUGCCUCUUCUCUGCUUCGUGGCUGACAGUGAUACAUGGUGCGUCAUCUUGAACUUCUCUUCCUCCUCAGUUCUGGGCGUGAGGUCACCUCAAUUUCUCUUCCUCCUAGGACCGAUAGGUGCUGUCUCUUUGAUUUUUGCUACUGUGGGUUAGUAUAAGAGGUUCCUUGCUUCUUCCUCGGUUCAGCGUAGCGAAUUCAUCCUUCCUCCUGUCCUAUUCUACCGUAAUCGAUUGAAGCAGAAAAGCAAGAAAAAUUCCAGAGUCACAUACAACAUGCACAACCAGAUGGAGGAGGGAAGAGAGGUAAGAUUCACUAACCAGCAAAGCCAAUAACGUUGAACCAGGAAGAGGAAUAGUCUAAUGUUGAGAAGGGAAGCAAAACUCUGUGCUCACACUCACAGAAACCAGCACCGCACACAAAGAAGACGGAGAAGAUCGAGGAUUUCCCCUGGCUGUUACCGCCAACUCAUCUGGAGUAUUAAGUUGAGAACUGUGAUAGUAAAACAGAGAAGGAGGAAGAGAACCGAACUUAAAGCCUACACAUACUCAGGAUGAUAUUGCAACCAUGAGAGCAGGGAGAUGAGCGAUAGGACACAAAGAAGAAGAGCUCGUGAUUCCUCCUUUUGCAAUGACGUGCAGCAGCAGGCGGAGCUUGUGUACACACCAUGGACGGCGAUGGAAUAAGUGCGAGAAAAAAGAAGAUGAAGAAGAGGGAGGAUGGCGGUUCUGUUCAAAGCUCCUAGAUCUCUUGCUGGAAAGAAGACAUUGGGAAAGAAAUAAAAACAGAGGAUGCGUGUGUUUUACUCUCUGCCAUCGAUUUUUUUUCCUGAGGGCAUAAUAGUAAUUUCAUAAUGAAGCAAAAAUAAAAAUCUUUCUUA